UCAGAUGUAGUGUAAAGGGAACACAAUGGUUCAGAUUUGUAGCAUAACACCCAUGGAGGUACAAAUUUGAAAGCCAUCAGUCCAGGUUCGACUCCUGGCGUCUGAA